rnacentral:rRNA from 1 species
ACGGGAAAGCGGGGGCACUCCGCGAGUAUAGUGGCGUACGGGUGAGUAACACGUGACUAACCUGCCCUUGAGUGGGGGAUAACUUCGGGAAACCGAGGCUAAUACCGCAUAACAUUUCUGGGAUGAGAAGCCGGAAAUCAAAGGAGCAAUUCGCUUAAGGAGGGGGUCGCGGCUGAUUAGCUAGUUGGUGAGGUAACGGCUCACCAAGGCGAUGAUCGGUAGCCGGCCUGAGAGGGCGCACGGCCACACUGGAACUGAAACACGGUCCAGACUCCUACGGGAGGCAGCAGUGGGGAAUUUUGCGCAAUGGGGGUAACCCUGACGCAGCAACGCCGCGUGGAGGAUGAAGUCCCUUGGGACGUAAACUCCUUUCGACCGGGACGAUUAUGACGGUACCGGUGGAAGAAGCACCGGCUAACUCUGUGCCAGCAGCCGCGGUAAUACAGAGGGUGCAAGCGUUGUUCGGAAUUAUUGGGCGUACAGGGCGCGUAGGCG